UACGUAGGGUGCGAGCGUUAAUCGGAAUUACUGGGCGUAAAGCGUGCGCAGGCGGUUUUGUAAGCCAGAUUGGAAAUCCCCGGGCUCAACCUGGGAAUGGCAUUUGGGACUGCAAGGCUGGAGUGCGGCAGAGGAGACUGGAAUUCCUGGUGUAGCAGUGAAAUGCGUAGAUAUCAGGAGGAAUACCGAUGGCGAAGGCAGGUCUCUGGGCUGACACUGACGCUCAUGCACGAAAGCGUGGGGAGCAAACAGG
rnacentral:rRNA from 1 species